GACCGCUUGGCUCAGUUGGUUAGAGCGUCUCGUUUACAUCGAGAAGGUCGGGGGUUCGAAUCCCUCAGCGGUCACAA
rnacentral:tRNA from 3 species